UAAUAUAAAGGAAGGGGUUGC
rnacentral:miRNA from 1 species